rnacentral:rRNA from 1 species
UACGAAGGGGGCUAGCGUUGUUCGGAAUUACUGGGCGUAAAGAGCGCGCAGGCGGUCGGAUAAGUCGAAUGUGAAAGCCCCCGGCUCAACUGGGGAGGGUCAUUCGAUACUGUUCGACUCGAAGGCAGGAGAGGGAAGUGGAAUUCCCGGUGUAGUGGUGAAAUGCGUAGAUAUCGGGAGGAACACCAGUGGCGAAGGCGACUUCCUGGCCUGUUCUUGACGCUGAGGCGCGAAAGCUAGGGGAGCAAACGGG